GAUGAACGCUAGCGGCAGGCUUAAUACAUGCAAGUCGUGGGGCAGCAUGAGUGUAGCAAUACAUUUGAUGGCGACCGGCAAACGGGUGCGGAACACGUACACAACCUUCCUAUAAGUGGGGAAUAGCCCAGAGAAAUUUGGAUUAAUACCCCGUAACAUAACGAUGUGGCAUCACAUUGUUAUUAUAGCUUCGGCGCUUAUUGAUGGGUGCUCGGCUGAUUAGAUAGUUGGCGGGGUAACGGCCCACCAAGUCUACGAUCAGUAGCUGAUGUGAGAGCAUGAUCAGCCACACGGGCACUGAGACACGGGCCCGACUCCUACGGGAGGCAGCAGUAAGGAAUAUUGGUCAAUGGACGCAAGUCUGAACCAGCCAUGCCGCGUGAAGGAUUAAGGUCCUCUGGAUUGUAAACUUCUUUUAUCUGGGACGAAAAAAGGCUUUUCUAAGUCACUUGACGGUACCAGAUGAAUAAGCACCGGCUAACUCCGUGCCAGCAGCCGCGGUAAAAC
rnacentral:rRNA from 1 species